CCAAAGUGCUGGGAUUACAGGUGUGAGCCACCACACCCAGCCAGAAUUUACAUUUUUCAAAAGGUCCCUGAUGUUGCUGAGGCAGGACCACACUUUAAGAACCACUAUAGUAGAGGUUUAGGAAGAGACAGAGAAAAAUCUCUCCAGGCUACAAGACUGUCUGAUGCUGAAGGUCUUGGCCUAGUGUACCACACCAAGGAACUCCCACACUCUGAAUGAACAGCCCAGUGAUCAGGAGCUUUGAAUCAAUUCUUGGCACCUAACAGUUUGUGAAGAGUCUGCUAAACUCCCUCUAUCAGAAAUCCCAGAGGACUGAGAACAGGUCAUCCUUGGAGCUGUAUCUGAAUGGAGUCAGGAUCUGGAAGCCCAAGUCUCCUUGUCAAUGUCUGCUUGGUUCCCAAGGACACCUGUAAAUGGAAGAGGGGCAUAGUACACAGAAGACAUUGCUGGCAAGUGUGGUCUCUUUACGAUCAGAAACUAUUCUUAAGACCGGACGCGGUGGCUCAUGCCUG
rnacentral:lncRNA from 1 species